CACCUGUUAACAUUAUCUAUGCUCUAUUAUAUUUUUAUUUAGGCUGUUCAUUAUUUCCCAAAUAGAUUUUAACCUGUUUAAGCACUCAAGAAUAUAAGGGCAACAAUAAAAUCCGAAGGCAUAGUAUUUGACUCUGUUCCAGACCUCCCAGAGAAUGGUGACAUUAUUAGGUAGCAACAAAGAAGAAGAUUUCUGAUGGGGAAAGGGAGAUCUUUAAGACCAAACUUAGAGGGAGCCCAAAACUCUUGGUCACAAGUUAAUUUAAUACAAAAUGACUUCUAGUAGUAAGAAAUGUACCAAAGUGCUAGUUGUUUUUUGCAAUGGUAACAAAAAGAAAUUGUAUUUAUUUUUUUGGUCUUUCAUUUCAGGAGGCUUUCGGAGUGGUCUGAGAACCCAGCAAGUGCCAGUUUUGCUAAGCUUGGCUGUCUGGUCCUCUAGGAAGAAAAGAAAAGAAAGGAAAAAGGUCUUACUUGUAGCUCCAAGAAGCGGGAGCAGCAGCCCCUGGUAAAGACAAACAAACACGCAUCUCAGCAGUCAGGAUGACAAUCUAUAGGCAAGGUAGAGGAUGUCUCCUGCACGCACGGGAAGGCUUCUCCCAGCAGAAUGUGUGAAGGAGAACAACUUGUUUCAGUGGCCACAAAGGCAGCAAAAACAGAGCUUGGUCAAACAUUGAAGACACCAAAGUCAUCACUCCAGUCAUUCUGACUUGGGUCUCGCCGCUGGAUCUGCUCUCUUCCAGCUGGCAAGAAGAGAGGCUGCUGAGUUCGUGCCCUUCCAUUUCCCUUAAAUCCAGUUCAGGUGCAAGUCAAGACACCACCUUGGGACGUCAUCGAUCCUCUUAAAGAGUGAAGGAGGAGCCAAGACGUGCCAGGCACUGUGCUGUGCUGCAGAGGAAGGACCAAGAUGGUGCCUGCGCCCAGAGAGCUUACAGGCUAAGAGAGGCAUCAAAAGGGGCUAGCUGAGAGGAGAGGAGGGGCUUACAUGGAUCCGGGAAUGAGUGUGGAAAGGAAACAAAGGCAAGACUAUUGUAAACAAGGUCUUUUAAUACUUGGAUAUAUCUGUGCUGCCACUGACGAUAGCUUACCGACUGCUGGAAAAGACCUGACUGGCGCACGAACACACACUCUAUAUGGGCUCAGCCAUAGCCUCUCAACAGGCUGGUUCCUUUAUCUAGAUCUCUUACCAUCAUGUAGAUACUAAUAGAACACACGGGCUAUUUUUCAGUUAUUGCUCACCUUUACUCUAAGACUGACACACUUUCCUCCCUAAUCUAUUGAUAUUAUGUCACUUUUGCAUAAUUCUUCAUCAUUUAUAUCUCACAACCUAAACUAAAACCGCUGUUGCCUUGGCUUCCAAAUCUCUUGGCUUAAUAGGAAGAACAAGUGUUUUUGGCUGAAGGAAAUUUCUAGACACAUGGUCUCUUCUAUAGGAAAUAGAUUUUAUAUCAAUUAAACCUUUUUAGGUCAUGAUAAAGAGUAUCUGUCCCUUUUAUAUUCAUUGACCUUUUUUUGCAUCAACAUCUUAUUUAGCUGGCUGGGGUUGGUGUUUCUUCAUUUGCAAGGCACAUAUUAUUUUUAUUUAUUUUGUAUUGUUUUUAAGCUUUUCUCUAAAAAGCCAAUUGUCUGACUAUCCAGACAAAUGAUUUAGAAAUAACUUCCAUGUUAGUAGAUACUAAUUUCUUGUCUCUAAGAAUAUGGUCAUUUCCUUUUAUUUUGGUGUUAUUUGGAGUUCAUCAAAACGAGGGCCUCUGAUUCUCCUCUAGAAUAAAGUAUUUUUGAAUCUAUAGGCCUGAGGAUUA
rnacentral:lncRNA from 1 species